CGGGGCGUGGCGCAGCCUGGUAGCGCGUGUCGUUUGGGGCGACAAGGUCGCUGGUUCAAAUCCAGUCGCCCCGA
rnacentral:tRNA from 1 species